UACGAAGGGGGCUAGCGUUGCUCGGAAUGACUGGGCGUAAAGGGCGCGUAGGCGGACGGCUUUGUCGGGCGUGAAAUUCCAGGGCUUAACCCUGGGGCUGCGUUCGAGACGGGUUGUCUAGAGUUUGGAAGAGGGUCGUGGAAUUCCCAGUGUAGAGGUGAAAUUCGUAGAUAUUGGGAAGAACACCGAUAGCGAAGGCAGCUUACUGGGCUGUAACUGACGCUGAUGCACGAAAGUGUGGGGAUCAAACAGG
rnacentral:rRNA from 1 species